UACAGAGACUGCAAGCGUUAUUCGGAUUCACUGGGCGUAAAGGGUGCGCAGGCGGUUGGGUGUGUCAGAUGUGAAAUCCCGAGGCUUAACCUCGGAACUGCGUCUGAAACUACUCGACUAGAGUAUUGGAGAGGGUAACGGAAUUCACGGUGUAGCAGUGAAAUGCGUAGAUAUCGUGAGGAACACCAGAGGCGAAGGCGGUUACCUGGACAAUUACUGACGCUCAGGCACGAAAGCAUGGGGGAGCAAAAAGGG
rnacentral:rRNA from 1 species